GGCUCCAGGCUCUGAGCUUGUCAGCACAGAGCCCGACGCGGGGCUCGAACUCACGGACCGCGAGAUCGUGACCUGAGCCAGUCUGACUCCCAACCGAUGGGGCCACGCAGGUGCCCCAGAAGCUGUUCGUUUUGACGAAGUCCCAUCUAUUUUUCUCUCUUGCCCCUCGUAGUUUUGGCGUUGCCUCUAAGACUUCACCGGAUCCAAAGUCACAAAGACUCACUCUCCUAUUUUCUCCUGGGAGUUCUGUAGUUUGGGCUCUUAACAUUUAGGUCAGUGGUCUGUUGGGAGUUAAUUUUGUUGUCGGGUGUGAGGCUGGAGCCACCUUCAUUCUUUCACGGGUGGGACAUUCUAGCCACUGAAGAAUGUAACUUGUCCCUCAGCAGCCCGCUGGGUGAGGCGAUCUGUCCAGGGCAGCCGUUCAGCAGGGGUGGAUCAUGGGAAAUGCUGGCUAAAACGAAGAGUCCUGGGCUUCUUCCCUACAGAUCCAGCAUCAGCAAGUUUGUGUCGGCCUGGAGAUCUGUUUUGCUAGCAAACAUCCCUGGUCGAUCCAGGGUCUGUGGGCCUGAACCUUGAGGUUCGCCGCGUUGUUUUUGUGGAAGAUCCUCGCGGUUGGAACACAAAAAUCCAAGAGUAACCGGAGACUUCCAUAUCUGGCAACGUGGCAGAUGAGAUAUCCUGAUGACCCCUCUGGACACAAAGCCCUAGUGGUGAUACUCUGAAUGAAAUAGGGGGGAAAAAAAAACCUUCUAAAAUUAUAACCGAGGUGGCAAGAAAAAGUGGAAAUACACAGAGGCGGAAAACGACAAGAAAGUACCAGUCCAGAGACGGGUGAGCCCGGCAGAUGCCCAGAGCUUCGGGACAAAGGUCUCUGCUGGGAGAAGGGCCAGCGCGGCAUCCCCACAGGUCUGAGAGACCCUGGGAAGAAAGAUUUGCGAUGCGUUGAAUACACCAGGCAGGGGUCGGGGCCCAGAAUAGGUGAAGGAUUCCCACGGAUUACCAAAACCCAAGCGGCCAAGUAGAAAAGAGGAAACAGACGGGAGCAGGUGUUUCACACAAGAAAACACGAACGGUUAAUGAAACGUGAAAAACGCUUCCUCUUAUCAGUCAUCAGAGACGUGCCGAUCGAUCACAAAAUCACAGUCACGGCCACAGCGAGGCCUGCUCUGCCCGUGCACACACCCCCCACUAGGUUUCGGCGCACAGAGCAAGGAGCGGACUCUCUCCCACCUGCCCGGCCGGGGUGGGGAGGUGGGGGAGGGAAAACCCGUCUCCCCACUCUGGAGACGCCACUCUGGAGCCCUUCGAAGUAGUUUCUACGCCCACCACCCUGGGACCUGGCGGUUCCUCCCUCCCCACGGCGUUUCCAGGAGAACAGCACAAAAAAGACGGGUGCCCGGAAGCUCGUGGUUCUAAUCGUCGGAGCCCCGAGCUGGAAACAGCACAAGUCUCCCAUCAAUUGUGGUUUGGUUUUUUUGGUUUUUGCCUUUUUUAAGUUUUCAUUUAAAUCCCGGUGUAGUUAGCACGCAGUGUAAUAAUAUUGGUUUCAGGUGUACCACCUAGCGACCCAGCACUUCCCUGUGUCACCGGGUGCCCGUCACAAGUGCCCACCUUCAUCCCCGACACCUGUCCCCUCAUCGCCCACCCCCCCUCCCCCCUGGUCGCCACCUGCGUGUCCUCUUAGUUCAGUCUGUUUCUUGGUCUGCCUCUCUCUCUUUUCCCUUUGCUCUUUUGUUCUGUUUCUUAAAUUCCACGCGAGGGAGAUCACAUGGUAUUCGUCUCUCUCUGCCUUAUUCCACUUGACAUUACAGCCUCCAGCUCCACCCAUUGGUGACAAAUCAUACGCGACGAGGUCAGCUGUGGGGGGGGGGGGGGCCCUGGCCAAGGUCGGGCGCGGGGACCCUCUGGGCCGAGGCACCCAUCCUCUGCCCACAUGGUGGGCACACUCACAUCUUAGCUCCACACCGAUGGUUUGUGGCCUCUGUUGUACGUAUUCUGUGUUGAUCUCUAAAACUGAAUACAUUUGAAACAGGCUUAAGUGGCAACACCCGCAGGUGACCCAUGAGAAACAAAUGAGAAAGGCACGACGGGGCAUUUUGCAGAAGGAAACGUGAACAGCCAAUCAAAUGCGCCAAGAAAGCUCAGCCGUGUUGGUGGCCAGGAAAUGCUCACUGUCGGGGGAUAGUGUCACCCACUCCUUUGCUGGCAGCAGUCGAAACACCUGCCUAUUCCUGUUCCCGAGAGGACGUGAGCAGUGGGGGUGGUGGGGAAGGCGUGGUGGCGUGGGACAACGUGGGGGCCCCUGGAGAAGCGGGGUCAGUAGCCCGGGUGGCGUGAGUUGAUAAGCUGAGAACCCUUCCUGCCGCCCCUGUGCGACCCGGGCCGGGCCCCACUUUGGGGGGCAGUUUCGCGCCUCCGGGGACACGUGUGGCUGCCAGCCUGCGGAUGAGGCAGAUGAGCAGAGAGGACAGAGUCAGGGAAGCGGAGCUGAAGUCACCCCUGACUCGGGGUUCUGCCGCCGCCACGAUCUGUACGUUGUCGGGGUGACGUGACCCCCACAGCCCACAUGAGCCGCAGGACUGCUUCCGAGCUGCACCAGGGUCGUUGCUAAAGGAGCCAUGGGCACGGGGGCAGGGAAUGCUUCCUGGAUGUGCGGGAAGGGACACCAGCACCGCGCACCGAAGGUUUGUGACCCUCCAGACUCCUGUGCCCAAGCCCCGAGAAGAUACAGCAGGGACCUCCCGCCCUCCCGCCGCUCAGCCACACGGAGGCCGCCCGCAAGCCCAGGAAUGAAACCCAUCCUGUGGGCACCUCCGCCGUGCACUUCCCAGACCCCUGAACCCACUCCCCAGAUUGCCAGAGCCAAGAUGAGCCACGGUUUCAAAGUACCGUGUGUCGGGCUGAUCGCCCGUGUAGAGGGAAAAUCUAUGGCAAGGGGCCUGGGGGGGGGGGGGGGGGCAGAAUGGAACC